rnacentral:rRNA from 1 species
GACGAACGCUGGCGGUGUGCUUCACACAUGCAAGUCGAACGAGGUAGCAAUACCUAGUGGCGGACGGGUGAGUAACGCGUGGGAAUCUGCCUUUAGAUGGGGGAUAACGGGUCGAAAGACUCGCUAAUACCGCAUAUGACGAAAGUUGAAAGGAGUAAUCCGUCUAAAGAUGAGCCCGCGUCCGAUUAGCUAGUUGGUAGAGUAAAAGCCUACCAAGGCGACGAUCCGGUAGCUGGUCUGAGAGGAUGAUCAGCCACAAUGGGACUAGAAGACACGGCCCAUAC